rnacentral:tRNA from 2 species
GCGGCCGUAGCUCAUCUGGAUAGAGUACUUGGCUACGAACCAAGGGGUAGGGGGUUCGAAUCCCUCCGGCCGCGCCA